GAUGAACGCUAGCUACAGGCUUAACACAUGCAAGUCGAGGGGCAGCAUAAAUCUAGCAAUAGAUUUGAUGGUGACCGGCGCACGGGUGAGUAACACGUAUCCAACCUACCUAUUACUCGGGUAUAGCCUUUCGAAAGAAAGAUUAAUCCCCGAUACGAUAUUGAGUUCGCAUGAAUUUGAUAUGAAAGAUUUAUUGGUAUUAGAUGGGGAUGCGUUCCAUUAGAUUGUUGGUGAGGUAACGGCUCACCAAGUCUUCGAUGGACAGGGGUUCUGAGAGGAAGGUCCCCCACACUGGAACUGAGACACGGUCCAGACUCCUACGGGAGGCAGCAGUGAGGAAUAUUGGUCAAUGGGCGAGAGCCUGAACCAGCCAAGUAGCGUGAGGGAUGACUGCCCUAUGGGUUGUAAACCUCUUUUAUAAGGGAAUAAAACGCUCCACGAGUGGAGCUUUGCAUGUACCUUUUGAAUAAGGAUCGGCUAACUCCGUGCCAGCCGCCGCAGUAA
rnacentral:rRNA from 1 species